GCCAGCAGCUAUCACUCUGCAGCUCUCACCUGAUUGCCCACCUAAGUUAAGCAGGGUUGAGCCUGGUCAGUACCUGAAUGGGAGACCUCCUGGGGAAAACUAGGUUGCUGCUGGAA
rnacentral:rRNA from 1 species